UCUCAUGCAUGAGCCAACAAAUUGGUUUCUUGAGAUGGAAUCUACUCCUGGUGAAGAUGCUGUGAA
rnacentral:pre_miRNA from 1 species